rnacentral:lncRNA from 1 species
UCCUCAAACUGAAUUACUCCCCUGCUCCAGGUGGCUGAUGAUGGUGAUUAUUACUUCUUACACCGUACCCGGGAGCUGGGUAGGAAGGACGAGGGACAAGCUUGGGCUUUGUGGGGCGUUUCCAUGAUCAAUAACGUAGUUCCUCUUGGAAUUCUCGCCGUGCUACAGGAACCGUUACGUCGAACACCUUCCCGUCAGCAGCCGUGAACGGGCUGACCCACGGCAGAACGGAAGUGACCAGCAGCUCCCGUGAGCUGAAUUCACCGUGUUUUUGACAAAUGACCGGGAAGCGACAAGUCCCAAAUGUUUCCUCAGUUUCCAGGAGCGGCUGUCUUGGGAACGGACGACCUCGUCCUGGGAGAGCCACUUGGGAGUCCCUGCCCGGCCGUGUCGCCUGCUCUCCUGACCCUCCGUCACCUGCCUCUUCUCUGGGCUUCUUCGCUUUCUCCCUCACUCCCCAAGUUUCAGAAGAUGAUGCUGUUGAAGAUCAGUGGAAAAUGGCCAGGGAAACCCGCAACGCCAACCACACCGUCCCUGGUCACACACAAAGGCAACAUCAUCUACCUACUCGGGCUCCUGGUUCUCAGCUUUUCAUGAAUUGA